AGUAUCCAUAGAAACAGGACUAACCUGAUUCCCACAACAACGGCAGAAUGGGUUAGUGACCAGGAGGCGGAGGAACUGUGGAGGAAAAGCAAUCAUUUCCUCCGAAAUUUGUUGGGAGACCAAGAAGGGGAAGUUGGCGCCAGAGACUCUCACCGACUUCAAAUGGCUGGGAGCAUGGAAGGACCAGAGAUUGAGGAAGUCCGUGAUUCAGACUCUGAAAAGCAGUUCCAGUUCCACCAGGGAGUGAGGGCGGAGGAGUGGUACACGAAAUAGUGGUACACCUUCCGAUGGGUGGUAUCGCAGACUGGAUUCAAAACCUGUAUCUGAGGAGCUGACGUGUGGAGGGAAAGAGGAGACUCGUUCCCUAUGGCUUCCAAGAAGGAAGACUGGGACCAAAUGCCAGAAGCUAUCGGGAGCCAUCAGGGAGGUGACAGAGAGGAGCUGCCCAAAGAUGGAACAGGUCAGCUCUGAUGUGCAAGCCCAGGCUGGGCCACCACGUGGGGAAAUCUAACACCAACGGGAACAGCCCUGUGGCUCCAAGGUCUGAUGGAGGAGAUCUCACCACAAAGGGAAAGGUGCUUCAUCUUUCUUCAUCGCACACCAGGUCCAAAGAGGAGCCAAGGGGGAGAUGGGUGCAAAUCGAGGCCUGGAUUCUGCUGCCAGGAUCCACGGGAGACUAGUGACAGCAGAUGCCACUGAGGAAGAAAAGGGAGAGCUGGAGGACGGGAAGAAGAGAGACUUUUCAUUGGAUGACCUUUGUCCUAAGUGAAUGAGGGUCUCCUCACCUCACCUUUGCAUCAAGCUGUGCAGAAAGCCUGCUCUCCUAAUACAGGAGCCACCACCUGCGCUCUGACUUCACAGCAGCCACGACCUCGGCGUCCUAACCUCAGUACCCCCUCCUGCUCUUCCAGGAUGAACUGUUACCUGACAGAGGGUUCAGUGGCUCUAGAAGGCCCCCCGGCAGGCCCUGGGCCUGCUCUGCUCCAGGCAGCAACUCUCCCAGGGACCAAAGGGUCUGAGCAGCUUUUUCCUGAAACCUCUCCAUCCUCCCCCUACACUUCAUCUCUUGGCCCCGGGUACAAGUGAAACCCUGAGAUCCUGCAAAUCUUCACUCGUUACAAUCAGUACCCAGAUAAGUAGCCCAGGCCAGCCAUUCAGAGUCACCAGAGCAAAGCCCUGGUUUCCGCAUCUGCUGCAGCACAUUGAUACGACAGGAGCAAGGCCAGGACAGGAUGUUCUGAAACUCCCACUCCUGCCUCUGGCAUGGCUGGGCUGGGCCACUGGACUGGGUGUGUCAGGAGCUCACAACCUUCUCUGGUGGCAGCUCGGAGAUCCAAAGCCACCGUCCAGCUCCUUGCAACCCUCCUCUUGCUGCCAGCAGAAAGGAUAUCUGCUCGGGACAUCCCUCUAGGCGGGGGCGGGGCUGGGGGGGACCUGAGCCCCAAAGCAGCAGGAAACAAAUCCCUCCUCCAAGAGACCGCCUUUACCUGUGUAUUCCCCAAAGAGAAAUCUGACCAGGCCUAGGAAGGAAUGCAAAUGCAGCCAGGGAUGGGGGGGGGCCACCCCUCUGCUGUGAGGUGGGGAUUCGGGGUGGGGUGCAGGCACGGAAAUUACCCUGACCCUCAGGGGAGAGAACCACUACUGCAAAUAAAGAACUCACCACAAGCCCAACCUUAAAAACACCAGCACCGUCCACACACAAUUCCCUGCCAGCCACCAGGGCGACAGGCCACAUUUUCCUAGGAUGAUCUACGAUAGUAUUUAGGUGUGUGAAGGGUACAGAGCAAUUGCAUUUAAGAAACGAUACCAGCCCUGCCCUUCAUAUGGGGCACAGCAAUGGACCCUUUCUCAGCAGCUAACAGAGAAGGGAAGGGUCUCAAAAAUCAGAUUUCACCAUGAUCUGGCCUUGCAGUGAAAGUCUGUUUGUGACCAGAGGGCCCCACGUCCCCUAUCAUCCCUGCCAGCCCUGAGUUUGUGAGACCAGAUGAUCAGGUGCUUUUAGAAAGGAGGAGACUUAUCAGUGCAGACCAGUCAUGUUUUCUACCUCUGGAGAAGAUGCAGGGAGGAAACAGAAAUGGUGGAGGGAGCGGUCAGGGCCCCCUGCCCCCCAAAGUGAGCUGAGCGGGGUGUUUGGCUAUCAGGCACUUUCCCAAGAGGACAAGACAGGCCAUCCCGGCCUGAAGCUUCGCCCUGCCGACCUUGCCUUAAUGACCAUGUCAUUCUGUGUUCCUCUGAGAGCUCAACCUCUCCUGAGUAAAAAAAAUCAAAAUCAAGAGCCUACCAUUAGAAUGAUUUCAUUCUCAGGAAGGAAAGGGGAAAGGGAGGAGGUAAAAUAGGAGAGAGGAUGAGGCUGCAUGGGUUCCAUUGCUUCCUAUCUCUGAAGUCCCAGCUUUCUUUAUUCUCUAAUUUGUGGAAACUCAGGUAAGUUCUAUAGGAUAAUUCAUAAAACAAAUAAAUAAAACAAGCAAAUAUCAAGAUCCCAAUGGCUCUGUGACCUUGUUCACAUACACAGCCACACAAAAUCCAUGUAUAAUUUUGUAUGACCAUCCACAUUGAAGAAAAUUCUCUUUUUAAGAGGGAAAAAAACCAAUUCUUGGAUUUUCCAUUAGAAAAAAAAAAGUUUUUCUUGUGAACAUUUUGGGAAAAUACUCAAAAGAUGACAAAAGAUAAAGGAAAAAGAAUCAACUGUAGCACUGCCAUCAAAAAAGAAGGAUUUAUGGCAGCCCGGGUGGCUCAGCAGUUUAGCGCUGCCUUCAGCCCAGGGCAUGAUCCUAGAGACCCCGGAUCGAGUCCCACAUCGGGCUCCCUGC